rnacentral:siRNA from 1 species
UUAGAUAGAAUACUAGUCA